rnacentral:tRNA from 1 species
GGGAUUGUGGCUCAGUGGUAGAGCGCCUCACUUAGUGAGGCACUGGGUUCGAUCCUCAGCACCA